UUGGGGAGAUAAUUGCCCGAAGAAGUGGAGAUUUGUCGCGGGGGGCAACUAAUCUCCCCGAAUCUGCUUAUGUGGAGACCUUAAAGAUGUCCACACAUGGGCCAGUCCUGUAGGGCAUCAGAUCAAUAUGGAUACAGAUAUUGUCUACUGUACGAUAUGGAAUUCUUUGGAUAUAACAUCACUGAGGAUAAACACAGUCAUAGCUAACAUUUGGGGGGCGGGACAACUAUAUGGAAGGCUUGUAUUACAAUAUAUUCCUCAAAUUCUUUAUUUCCCACAGGGACAAGACAGAAGUUUUUUUCCCAGACAGAGACCAACUUUACUGCACCUGAGCAAAUGGAUGAGUGUGUAUACCCUCGGCAUGGGUAAUGACAAUGAAGAUACCCUACCCUUCCCUUCUUCCUUACAUUCCAUCUGUACUCAGGGACUAAAGCAGAGAGCACUGACCCAGCACUCCCUGAGCAGCAACAAUGGAGAUGAUUUUGCCAGCAGAGGGGUAAGUGAAUUCAUGAAAACUUCAGCUGUAUCCAAAUGUCAGAGUUCCAAAGGGCACAUGUUUAUCAUGAUGCACUCUAUUGCAUUAGCCCUCAAUGUUUCUCUGGUUAUAUUGCCUAGCUUUCAGCUUUAUGAUGAUUAAACCCCUAUUUCCAUAUAACUGGCACAGAUCCCACUCCAACAAAUGAUUCUGCAUAAAUUCACUGAACAUAAUGGCUGACAUAUAGCCGUAUUCUGGGAGUUAUGAAAUAGUCAGGCAGAGCUGCGCUGUACAUUCCCCAGGGCUGAGACGUGACUCAGCAUGCCAGGUUCUGUGUUCUUGUUCCAUUGCAGCAGUGCACAAUGUGGAUUUCUUGAGUCACAUUAAAUACCGCAGAGAAGAGAAAGUGCCCGAUAAUUUCAGCAGAGCUUUCUACCGGAUUCACUGCAAAGAAAACUCCCACAUAGCCACCUUACACAUAUGGGGAGGCCAGCUAGGAAUGAGUAGGGAGCACAUUUAAUAGUGAGCAUACUGAACAUAUAGGUCCUGUAUUUUUCCCCAGUUAGCAUUUAAUUACGUUUGGAUAUGUGUGCAAUACAUUUAAGCACAUUCUGUACACAGGCCUACACUUACAUUUGGAAACAGACACUUAUAGAUGAGGGAAAAGUGCUGCACCUGAUUAAAACACAUAUGGAUACAGCAUGUACUGUUCAUGUGUGUGUUUAAUGUGGGUGCCUUUGUUUAUAAUGAAUGACUGGAAGAAAAUCAAGAAAAAUCAUGUUUAGUGCCUAUUUUUAAGUUAAUGAAAGAGUUAACAUUUCCUUAAACAGAGAAGCUAAUCCCAGUCUGAAAAGUGAGGAAAAAAAAGCCAAGAAAAAAAAAGAAAUUGAUUAAUAAAUGCAAUCGAGUGAAAUCCAUCAACUCUGCAGCUAUAAUGUCAAGUACUGUAUAAUGUCACUCUGCCGCCUGCGCGUAGAACUACAAUGUAACUCUGCAGCUGCCUGUACAUGGAACUACAACAUAACUCAGCAGCCACCUGUGCAAGGAACUACAAUGUAACUCUGCAGCUGCCUGUACAUGGAACUACAACAUAACUCAGCAGCCACCUGUGCAAGGAACUACAAUGUAACUCUGUAGCUGCCUGUACAUGGAACUACAACAUAACUCUGCAACCACCUGUGCAUGGAACUAGAACAAAACUCUCCAGCUGCCUGUGCAUGGAACUACAAUGUAAGCCUGCAGCCGCCUGUGCAUGGAACUGCAACAUAACUCAGCAGCCACCUGUGCAUGGAACUACAAUGUAACCCUGCAGCCGCCUGGGCAUGGAACUGCAACAUAAUUCUGCAGCCGCCUGCACAUGGAGCUACAAUGUAAGUCUGCAGCUGUGACAGAGUCACAUUUUCAAUGUUAAGGGCUAAUACAUCAAAAUAAAAUGUCCUCCUAUACCCCAAUAUCUUUACUGGGAGGCAGCAAGCUCACUGCAUGUUCUGCUACUGCCAAAUCUCACCUUUCUUCAUGCAGAGAGCAACACUUUUUAUAAGGCAACAGCCUUAUUAUAACUCUGUAACUUUACUGGUUAGACAGUUUCCAUAUAUUACAGAAGCCAUUUGCCCAUA